AGAGUUUGAUCCUGGCUCAGAUUGAACGCUGGCGGCAUGCCUUACACAUGCAAGUCGAACGGCAGCACGAGAGCUUGCUCUUGGUGGCGAGUGGCGAACGGGUGAGUAAUAUAUCGGAACGUACCCUAGAGUGGGGGAUAACGUAGCGAAAGUUACGCUAAUACCGCAUACGAUCUACGGAUGAAAGUGGGGGAUCGCAAGACCUCAUGCUCAUGGAGCGGCCGAUAUCUGAUUAGCUAGUUGGUGGGGUAAAAGCUCACCAAGGCGACGAUCAGUAGCUGGUCUGAGAGGACGACCAGCCACACUGGAACUGAGACACGGUCCAGACUCCUACGGGAGGCAGCAGUGGGGAAUUUUGGACAAUGGGCGCAAGCCUGAUCCAGCAAUGCCGCGUGAGUGAAGAAGGCCUUCGGGUUGUAAAGCUCUUUUGUCAGGGAAGAAACGGUGGACUCUAAUACAGAUCACUAAUGACGGUACCUGAAGAAUAAGCACCGGCUAACUACGUGCCAGCAGCCGCGGUAAUACGUAGGGUGCAAGCGUUAAUCGGAAUUACUGGGCGUAAAGCGUGCGCAGGCGGUUGUGCAAGACAGAUGUGAAAUCCCCGGGCUCAACCUGGGAAUUGCAUUUGUGACUGCACGGCUAGAGUGUGUCAGAGGGGGGUAGAAUUCCACGUGUAGCAGUGAAAUGCGUAGAGAUGUGGAGGAAUACCGAUGGCGAAGGCAGCCCCCUGGGAUAACACUGACGCUCAUGCACGAAAGCGUGGGGAGCAAACAGGAUUAGAUACCCUGGUAGUCCACGCCCUAAACGAUGUCUACUAGUUGUCGGGUCUUAAUUGACUUGGUAACUCAGCUAACGCGUGAAGUAGACCGCCUGGGGAGUACGGUCGCAAGAUUAAAACUCAAAGGAAUUGACGGGGACCCGCACAAGCGGUGGAUGAUGUGGAUUAAUUCGAUGCAACGCGAAAAACCUUACCUACCCUUGACAUGUCUGGAAUCCUUGAGAGAUCAGGGAGUGCUCGAAAGAGAAUCAGAACACAGGUGCUGCAUGGCUGUCGUCAGCUCGUGUCGUGAGAUGUUGGGUUAAGUCCCGCAACGAGCGCAACCCUUGUCAUUAGUUGCUACGAAAGGGCACUCUAAUGAGACUGCCGGUGACAAACCGGAGGAAGGUGGGGAUGACGUCAAGUCCUCAUGGCCCUUAUGGGUAGGGCUUCACACGUCAUACAAUGGUACAUACAGAGGGCCGCCAACCCGCGAGGGGGAGCUAAUCCCAGAAAGUGUAUCGUAGUCCGGAUUGUAGUCUGCAACUCGACUACAUGAAGUUGGAAUCGCUAGUAAUCGCGGAUCAGCAUGUCGCGGUGAAUACGUUCCCGGGUCUUGUACACACCGCCCGUCACACCAUGGGAGCGGGUUUCACCAGAAGUGGGUAGCCUAACCGCAAGGAGGGCGCUCACCACGGUGGGAUGCGUGACUGGGGUGAAGUCGUAACAAGGUA
rnacentral:rRNA from 1 species